AGAGUUUGAUGGUGGCUCAGGAUGAACGCUGGCGGCGUGCCUAACACAUGCAAGUCGAACGAAGCAUUUCAGAUGAAGUUUUCGGAUGGAUUCUGAGAUGACUGAGUGGCGGACGGGUGAGUAACACGUGGAUAACCUGCCUCACACUGGGGGACAACAGUUAGAAAUGACUGCUAAUACCGCAUAAGCGCACAGUACCGCAUGGUACAGUGUGAAAAACUCCGGUGGUGUGAGAUGGAUCCGCGUCUGAUUAGCCAGUUGGCGGGGUAAUGGCCCACCAAAGCGACGAUCAGUAGCCGACCUGAGAGGGUGACCGGCCACAUUGGGACUGAGACACGGCCCAAACUCCUACGGGAGGCAGCAGUGGGGAAUAUUGCACAAUGGGCGAAAGCCUGAUGCAGCGACGCCGCGUGAGUGAAGAAGUAUUUCGGUAUGUAAAGCUCUAUCAGCAGGGAAGAUAAUGACGGUACCUGACUAAGAAGCCCCGGCUAACUACGUGCCAGCAGCCGCGGUAAUACGUAGGGGGCAAGCGUUAUCCGGAUUUACUGGGUGUAAAGGGAGCGUAGACGGCAUGGCAAGUCUGAAGUGAAAACCCAGGGCUCAACCCUGGGACUGCUUUGGAAACUGUCAAGCUAGAGUGCAGGAGAGGUAAGUGGAAUUCCUAGUGUAGCGGUGAAAUGCGUAGAUAUUAGGAGGAACACCAGUGGCGAAGGCGGUUUACUGGACUGUAACUGACGUUGAGGCUCGAAAGCGUGGGGAGCAAACAGGAUUAGAUACCCUGGUAGUCCACGCCGUAAACGAUGAGUGCUAGGUGUUGGGGGGCAAAGCCCUUCGGUGCCGUCGCAAACGCAAUAAGCA
rnacentral:rRNA from 1 species